CCUACGGGAGGCAGCAGUAGGGAAUCUUUCACAAUGGGCGAAAGCCUGAUGGAGCAACGCCGCGUGCAGGAUGAAGGCCUUCGGGUUGUAAACUGCUUUUAUAAGCGAGAAAUAUGAUGGUAACUUAUGAAUAAGGAUCGGCUAACUACGUGCCAGCAGCCGCGGUCAUACGUAGGAUCCGAGCAUUAUCCGGAGUGACUGGGUGUAAAGAGUUGCGUAGGUGGCAUAAUAAGUAGCUAGUGAAAUCUGGUGGCUCAACCAUUCAGACUAUUAGCUAAACUGUUAAGCUCGAGACCGUUAGGGGUAACUGGAAUUUCUAGUGUAGGAGUGAAAUCCGUAGAUAUUAGAAGGAACACCAAUAGCGUAGGCAGGUUGCUGGGACGGUUCUGACACUAAGGCACGAAAGCGUAGGGAGCAAACGUGAUUAGAUACCCGUGUAGUC
rnacentral:rRNA from 1 species